UACGGGGGGGGCAAGCGUUGUUCGGAAUUACUGGGCGUAAAGGGCUCGUAGGCGGCCAACUAAGUCAGACGUGAAAUCCCUCGGCUUAACCGGGGAACUGCGUCUGAUACUGGAUGGCUUGAGUUUGGGAGAGGGAUGCGGAAUUCCAGGUGUAGCGGUGAAAUGCGUAGAUAUCUGGAGGAACACCGGUGGCGAAGGCGGCAUCCUGGACCAACACUGACGCUGAGUGAGCGAAAGCCAGGGGGAGCAAACGGGG
rnacentral:rRNA from 1 species